rnacentral:rRNA from 1 species
UACGUAGGCAGCGAGCGUUGUUCGGAAUUAUUGGGCGUAAAGGGCGCGUAGGCGGCUUGGCAAGUGGAUGGUGAAAUCCCUCGGCUUAACCGAGGAACUGCCAUCCAGACUGCUUUGCUUGAGGCCGGGAGAGGUAAGUGGAAUUCCCAGUGUAGCGGUGAAAUGCGUAGAUAUUGGGAGGAACACCAGUGGCGAAGGCGGCUUACUGGACCGGUUCUGACGCUGAGGCGCGAAAGCGUGGGGAGCAAACGGG